AUUGGAAUGUUAGAAACUAUGUUGAGCAGUAAGCAAUAAAACAAUAGAGAUGGCAAUUCAUAUGAUGGGCAAAUUAGGUUGUAAUGUUCCUUCCAGGAAUGGUUUUCAGUCACAAGAGGUACACUGCUUGCAAAUAUAGUUCUAGCCAUUUUCUCAUCUGUUUUUUCUUGGUCUUCUUUUAACAUUUUGUCAAUAAAGGUCAACAUGAGGCUUGACCAUCUUGAAGAUGAACAAAAUUGAUAGUAUAUCUGGUAAUUAAUCUCUUGAAGUUGAAGAUUUCUCAAAUUAUUACUUGAGCUACCAAGUUCCUGCAAUAAAGCAAAGAAUGCCACACACUUAUUGCUGUUUGAGACUCAGACCUGAGAAAGGAAUUACCAGAGCAUGUCCCUUUCAAGAAUACUCAUCAAGGAUGAUAGCUGAGAUGCCAGGAUCAAGAGAGUGCACAUGUGAAACUGCCUAUGGCUUUUUCCUGCAGGAAGUCCACAGUCUGUCCACAUGGGCACUACAGGAGAACAAGAGAGAGAACACCUGCAAAGCAAGUAUCAUACAAUUUUGAACCUGCCAAAUUUACCUGAAGAACUUUGACCCUGAAAACCUGCAUCUCUGAUUAAGGAUGAGAAUGUUUACUACCAAAAGGCCU